AUUGAACGCUGGCGGCAGGCCUAACACAUGCAAGUCGAACGGUAACAGGAAGCAGCUUGCUGCUUCGCUGACGAGUGGCGGACGGGUGAGUAAUGUCUGUGAAACUGCCUGAUGGAGGGGGAUAACUACUGGAAACGGUAGCUAAUACCGCAUAACGUCGCAAGACCAAAGAGGGGGACCUUAGGGCCUCUUGCCAUCGGAUGUGCCCAGAUGGGAUUAGCUAGUAGGUGGGGUAACGGCUCACCUAGGCCACGAUCCCUAGAUGGUCUGAGAGGAUGACCAGCCACACCGGAACUGAGACACGGUCCAGACUCCUACGGGAGGCAGCAGUGGGGAAUAUUGCACAAUGGGCGCAAGCCUGAUGCAGCCAUGCCGCGUGUAUGAAGAAGGCCUUCGGGUUGUAAAGUACUUUCAGCGGGGAGGAAGGGAGUAAAGUUAAUACCUUGGCUAAUUGACGUUACCCGAAGAAGAAGCACCGGCUAACUCCGUG
rnacentral:rRNA from 1 species